UCGUCGAUAUAAGGGAAUGUAAAGUCCACCGU
rnacentral:sRNA from 1 species